AUUCCCUCAUUUUUCACAGAAACUCCAGCCAUUGCUGCUCUACUGUUUUUUCUACAAAUGUCCCUGUGUUGCCCUUAAGGCAUUUGUUUAGCUUUCUUACAUUUUCACUUUAGUAAUUCAUUUGUAAUUAUUUUCUAGCUAAAGUUAAGGUUGUUGAAAGUAAAUUCGUUGUCUGUGAUUUAUCGCGGCAUUCAAUGACGUCACACCCAGUUUCGCCGCCUCUUGUGGGAAAAUACUGGUUUGGAGAAACGGGAAGGAGGGGGCUUGUGUGUGCAGGAUCAGCGUGAGAAAAGUUUUCAUUCUACGCACUAAGAAACAUCAUAGAAGCAAUGCAGUCCUCCUAAAGCAGAAGGAUUAUUAGCAAUCAACCCAGAAUCAAUAUAACAAAAUAGCUCAUUCCUACCAGCAGAAGAUGAUUUGCCUUUUUAUAAAAAGCAAUAACAUGAUGCAAAGAGUAUGGUGCAUUCACAUUAAUCACUCAUAACAUCAGACAUGUCUGUACCGAUACCAUAAGGAAAGGAAUCACAAUCAAGCUUCAAUGGACAAUGUGAACAUGAUGUCUGGCCAAUUCUUUCACCAGAUUUUAGGGAAGAUGUCAAAGCCUUAGAAAAAAAUCUGAAGAGAUUUACAAGAAUGUUUCCAGGGAUGAAGGAAUUGAAAGAACAUGGAAAUUCUUCAGAAAUAGGAGUUGUUGUCCUUUUUGACCAGAUAAGAUUAAGGGGAGAUUUGAUGGAAGUGUUUAAGAUCAUGAAGGAUUUUGACAGAAUGAACAAGAGAAACUGUUCCCCUGGUAGCAGACUGGUAACCAGAAAAUACCAGUGGAAGAUAAUUGACAAAAGAACCUGAAAUGCAAGAGAGAAAUUUUUAUUUUAUUUUUACAUUCAUAACAAUUUAUAACACUUUGCCUGGAAGUCUAAAGGAAGUAAAUUCAGUAGCAGCUUUAGAAAACAAACUGGAUAAAUACUAAUGAAGAGGAAUGGUGCAGAGCUGGAGGAAAGAACAAGAUUGUGGAACUAAUUGGAUAACUCUUGCAAGUGGCUGACACAGGCACAAUAGGCCAAGUGGUGUCAUCUGCAACACAUUAUUUUGUGGUCCUUUGAUUCUAACUCAGUAUACUGUAAUUAUGUAAGUAUUUUAAAAGAAAAUAAUAAAUAAAGAUUAUGGA